rnacentral:lncRNA from 1 species
GAGCCCAACUGAUCAUUGAUAGAUGCAUGGAACACUCAAAGGAUAAUAUUGUAUGUGCUACAUAUAUUCAUGAUGAUAAGAGUUUUAUAUUAACUCCGGAUCAUGUAUGUUAUGUCGGUAGUUGACACUACGUAAUGUCAAUAACUCGGACAUUACUCGUAUAUAGACGAGCCAUGCAACCUUGGUGUUGGAAUUGCCAUAAGAGGCUCUUUCUUCCUCACUACAGUCCCAAACUUUUCAGAUAACCUAAUCUUCUCUCCUUCACCCGAUCUCCAAUCAAAUGAAUGAACAUGUGAAGAAAGUAAAUACAUAAACAUCCUCUCACCCAUCAUAGCCCCAGGACAUAUUCGGCGGCCUGAUCCAAAUGGGAAAUAGUUGAAGCCACUCUCACUAUAAUCCAGCUUAUGAUCCAGAAACCUUUCUGGUCAAAACUCCAAAGGAUUUUCCCAAAUUGUAGGCUCUCUAUGUAUUGCCCAUACAUUAACAAAGACUCGAGCACCUUUUGGGACCGUCUAGCCACCAAUAACACAUGACUCGCUUGGACUAUGUGGCAAUAGGAGUGGAACUGAUGGGUGUAAACGUAGAACUUCUUUCAUGAUCGCGUGCAUGUAAGGUAGGUUUUUUAUGUGGGAUUCUUCAACAAUGUUGCCUUUACCGACAAUUUCAUCAAGUUCUUGAUGGGCCUUAUUGAGGAUCUCGGGACUGUCGAUCAUGUGAGCUAGGGCAAACUCAAGUGUGCUUGAGGUUGUGUUGGUUCCUCCAAUAAUCAUAGUACCAGUAGCAAGCCUUUGAUAUGGGUUAUGGUGAUUGACGUUUUGGACUCUCCAUCAUCUUUAAGUUGCAACAAGAACUGCAAAAAAUCUUUAUUUUCAGCACAAUCAAUCUUCCUUCUUUCAUCAAUAAUUCUAUCAAAUAUCUCAUCAAUCUUCUUCAUCGCCACCUUCAUACUCUUUUCAAUCCCUUGCACAUCCAACCAAGCUAAACCCGGAUAAAAAUCAGACAAGUUUGGUGCAGCCAUUAACCUAGUAACCUCAUUUAUCACAUUCCUGAACUCUACUCCAAACCCUAUCCCAUCCUUUGUGCCACCCCAUAUCAUACCCAUAACUACAUUCAUAAUGGUCAAGAACAUCAAGUCCCCAAUGUUUACUGGAGACCCAACUUGCAUGUUGUACACAUGUUUGAUGUUGUUCCUGAUCUCUUUUCGUCUAAUAUAGUAAAAUGAAUCCAAUGUUUCCUUGGUGAGCAUCUGACUAACCAAGAUCUUCCUUAAUACCCGCCAUUCAUCCCCAUACGGCAACCAUACGAUGUCAUUCCCACCGUAUGAUGAAACCUUGCUAGCAGCAGUUAUAUCUCGGUUGGCGAAGAUGGUGUCAUGAACUUUUAGCACCUCACGGGCCAGGACCGGGGAGGAGAUCACAAUGGUCACUUUUUUACCAAGCCAAAGCGUCAUAAUUGGACCGUAGGUUUUCGCAAGGUUGGCAAACUGUGAGUGGAGUUCAGUAUCAAGAGAUAGAAGAUUGCCAACUAUUGGUAAUCCUCGUGGGCCUGGUGGAAGUGAUGGGUUGGUGCCACCGUUGUUGGAUUUUAACUUCCAAAUAAGCCAUAAGAUGGAAAACACAGCAGCGAGCACGAGAACUACAAGAUCAACCUCCUCCCUGAAGGAUAAUUUCAAAAGUGCUACCAUGUUGGACAAUUCACGAGCACGUAUUAUGAAAGGGUGGACAAAGUGAUUUAUAUAAGGGAUUUGAGUAGGGUGUUAUCAGUGGCGGAACCAGAAAUUUUUUUUAUGGGGUGCAGAAAAUUUUUUGGGUCUUUUAUCUAUCACUACAUAAUAAUUUUUUAGUCUGGUUCGGAUCG